GCCUCGAUAGCCUCAGUUGGGAGAGCGUCAGACUGAAAGAUCUGAAAGGUCCCUGGUUCGAUCCCGGUGUCGCGGCA
rnacentral:tRNA from 1 species